CGAUUUCCCGGAUCAGACGACACAGUUUCGCUCCCUGCCGCUGAUAGCAGCGCACUCACUUUGGACUUUCAAACAUUUACAGGAGUAAAGUGAAGCUUCUUCCGCUCUACAGCAGAUCAACAGUUUUCUCUCUGUAGUGGCCGGGCCGGAGAGGAGAAGAGCUGCUGGAGCAGAGCACUGGUGCAGAUCUGGAGCCGAAGGAGUGUGCGCUGGAAAGUGCAAAAAGUGAUAUUGUAGCAAAUAAACAAAGGCAAAACGCAAGUUUCUGCAUCAUGUCAGGUCCUUUGGGUUACAGUGGUGCUGAAACCCAAGCUCCUCAGAUGACCCUCAAGCAAUUCUGGAGGUGUUCCAGGGAACCACGGUCGCAUACUGGUGGAAGCCCAGGUGGUGGCACUGAGCCUUCUCACAACGGUGUACGUGUCCUUUCUGACGUUAGGAGAGCCAUCCUGGACUGGCUGGGGCUCUCCCCUGAGGACCAUCGGCACCCCUUCCAGAUGGGAUGGAUGGGGCCGGAGGACUGGCAUUGGCGUUUACCAGGAGGCUGCAUGGUGCUGCAGCCAGGUGGCUACAGCCUGCCCCCACGCCAGGGGCGAUGCAGCUGCUCAAGACGGUAGUGCUGGAGCAAUUCAUGAAGGGACUUCCAGUCGGGAUGGCGCAGUGAGUCUGCUGCCAUCGGCUGGCAAGCCUCGAGGCUGCGGUGACGCUGGCCUAGGACCAUCUGGGAGCGCAAUUGGAACAUCCACAGGAACGUCCACCAGUGACGGGCUGACCGGUCCCAGCCCCCACCAGCCCAACCCACAGCCAUGGAGCGGAAGCCAUUUCUGCCUCAUUUGUCUCACACACUAAAAGAUUACUGGGCAAUAAAUCUAUUCGGACCAGCAUCUACCACCCUCAGACUGACUGGUGGAGCGGCUGAAUAAGACUUUAAAGUCCAUAAUUAUCUCCAGGAUCUACAGGCAGGAUGUCUGCCACUGUGUCCAAGGCUGAUGGAGUCACAAUACUCACCUUGACCUCUGACCCUAAUAGCCCUUGGCCUCCUCUGUGCCAGAUCCUCAAGAACCUUUGCUGCAGUCCAGUGUGCUGCAAAGUGUCUCAGCACCUGAGGCGCCUCAAAAGACCUUCUGAGAUAGUGCUGGGGACUCUGCAGAUCAUGAUUGGGCUUCUCAAUGUUGUCCUCGGAUCAAUCCUUAUAAGCCAACAUGAUGAAUCAUGGACCAUGAGUUAUACCGGCUAUCCUUGUUGGAUGGGAGGGUUGGUGUGACAUUCAUUGUCCCUGGAUUCAACUUCACUGGAUGACCGGUGUUCCCAGGUGUGCUGUCAGAUCUAGGCAAACUCAAACAGUCAGGUAGAAGCUCCAGGUGUUGUAGUCUGUACCCCUUCUUUGUUUGUUCUUUGUGAUGAUGUUUGUAAUUUUUGGUCUUCACCUUGUAACUUGUAGUUUGGAUCUUGGAUUCUUACUUGUCUUUCUUUUCCUCUUAGCAUCCAAUAGCACAUAUCUAAGGUUAUCAUCACGUGCUCUCGCUUCUUGUCCAUUUCCUUCCUCUUGGAGCCUCCUGAUUUUCUCCCUUUUUCCAUCCAUUCUGGUUGCUCAUAUUCUUCAUUAGCUUGCUUCUCUAUUUGGAAUAUGGUUCCACUCCUGGCUAUUUCCCCCCCAAGACAAGAUGCUAUAUCUAGGAAUAAGGACUCUCUUACUCGCAGGUGUAAUUAUUAUUUCUUUCCUUUACUUUUCUGUUAUGUUUUUUUCUCUGUUAUUCUUUGAAACCAAAAACUAAAUUCAUCUUCAUCAAUUGCUAAGAAUUAGACGAUCAACCUCUAUUUGAAAAUGAUGACAAUGCAAUGUUUUUCUCUUUUCACAAAACUGCAAACUUCAAUUGUAAAGAAAGUAAUUCUGAAGUAAAACUGCAAAUUUAAUUAUUCUAAUUUAAAGCAAGCAAAAUCAGAGCUGUUCAACCCAGCUGGUAAAUAAUUCAAAAACAAACACACUGUACUAAACUAAUAAAAGGUGAAAUCAACAAUGUCAAAAAUCAAUGUAAGAAUUAACUAAAAAAGAAUCUGUAUCAGUACUUGAUUAAAAAUUAAUCAAACAAAAAUAAAAGUCAAUUUAGCAAUUAACUGAAGAGUAAUCGUCUUCAGAAUCAAACCAAACAAAAAUGAAAAUUAAUUUCGAAAUUGACUCACGCAAUUAACUGUAUAUAUGAAUCAAUCAAAGAAAAUCAUAUGGCAUAAUCAGAAAAGCAGUUAAUUUUAGAUUAUAAGAUCAAGAUGCUAAGAUCAAAUGCAAAAACAAAACAGAUAGCCCCAAGACUGUUUACUUGUCAUCAACUGAUGACAGAAAUUAAUCCCGAGAUCAAAUGCAAGGAUCAGAAACAAACAGCAGUUAGCCUAAGAGUGUUAACUGAUAAUGCAAUUAAAAGAUGAAGAUACAAAGAUCAGAUCAGAUCAAAAACAAAUAGCAGUUAAUUCUACAGCAGUUUACUGAUAACAACUAAUGACAGAUCAAUUAUUUCACACUGUAAACUGUAAAGCUGCUACGUUGGUCAUUUUAAACCGCUUCAAAGUCAGUUCAAAAUUUCAAUUGUAAAUUUUUAGACUGUUAUUAAUCCUUUUUACCUCAAAGUGUAUAUUUUACUCCCCUUACCUCAGUCUCAAAUAGUACAUAUAUUUAUUCUUCUUAUUCUUACUCUUCCUAUAUUUAUUGUUGUUCUUUUGCACUGUAUAGAACUGGAGCCUGGUCUUCUCGUCUCUCUAUAUACUGAACUGUAUAUGGCAGAGAUGACAAUAAAGUUUACUUUGACUUUGACUUGAAUUGAAAGAUCAAAAUGCAAAAACGAAUACAAAACAAAUACCAGUUACUGCUAUAGCUGUUAAGUGAUUGCCAAACAAAAAUAAAUGUCAAUUUAAUAUUUAUCCUCAGAAACAUUUCAUUGUUUAUCAAACAAAACAAAGUCAAUGUUCCUCAUUAUCUGCUCCUUUCCUGGAAUGACAGAGAUCAUGACCACUACUCAUGCUAGUUCCUUCAUCUGGGUAGGAAUUUUCUCCAGGACCCAGGUCAGGUUCUUUUCAAAUAUUUAUCUAUUGGUAUUACACGCUGCAUCGUCUCACUGCAUGACUAUUGUGUAAUAUCUCCCUCGUCUUCUUCUGUUUUACUGGCAGUUGGCAACCCAUUUAAUUAGAGCAGGUAGUUGUACUGCCUUCUAGUGGAAGAGUACAACGAAUUAGAGUACGAAUCAGGUGGAACCAGAUAAUCUUCCACGGCACACCUGACCAUUUCUGACAGCACACCUAUGUGCCACAGCACAGUGGUUGAGAAACCCCGGUUCAGAGUAUGUAGAGUAUCAGAGUUGGUGCUUAAGAAAAAGCAGGAGGAUCUUAUGAAAUCAAAUGUGUUUUAUUAUUGGAAAUCUUAAUCCCUUACUUCUGUGGUUUAAUUGAUAUAUUGCAGUUUCUUGUUGUCACCUUAAACACAUGAUGUGUCUCCUCGUUCAGUUGGAGGAAUGUAACUUUAAUGUCUUUGUUUUUUUGUCUUGUGUAGUUCAUCGUGUUUGGAAUUGUCAGCAUUUUGUCUGACAACUAUCCAAGUCCAUGUCUGGUUAUCAUCAAUGUGAUUCUGAAUCUGACUGGGGUUGCUUUUGCCAUUGCAGCCAUUGUGCUGUAUAGCAUCAGUGUAUCUAAUAUAUAUUGGUCGGAAAUUUGUGAGGAAUGCUACGGCGGCGAAACAGUAAUUAUGGUAAGUGUAGGUAAGGGUAGUUCAGGUUAAAAUACCUAACUGACAAGUGGAAAAUAUACGGUUUUAAUUGUUUCGUAGAUAUGAUCACAGGUUUCUGCUUCUGAAAUCUGUGGAUUUGCAGCUGGUGAUCAGAUAAUAGUGUAUGUAGGUUUUUGACUGUAGGAUGAUGUUGCGAUCACAGUCACGUCUGUACAGAAGUCUCUGCCCGCUCUCCGUUCAAAGGGUCUGAGCCUGAGUCACAGGGGUAUUACUGCAAUAAAAUUGAACACUGUUGUUUGUAUCCCAACAGAUGCUCUACAGAAGCAUCAUUGCUGUGCUAAUUGUGCUGUCAGUCCUGGAGCUCUGUGUCACCAUCAGCUCAGUCGUCUUAGGGAUCAAGAGUCUGAAGAGCAAAGAAAAGGGACAAACCAAGAGCACUGAUGACCCAGAGCUCUACAAACCACUUCUAGAGGAAGAUACCACUGAGCCUACAGUCUGAAUGUAAUUGUGCUGUGAAGCAUUGUAAGCAUGGGCCUUUACAGCUUUGACUCUGUACUGCAACA